UACAGGCUUAGAUUUUGGGUUUGCUUCCGUAGGCUGCCAGGACAUCAGAGCCACAUAAGUCUAAUGGUCUCCUGGUUUAAUUAAUUUAACAGUAGUCUAGAUUAAAAGAGAUUUAAGAGAAAUGUUGACCAAAUUAAUGUGUGGGCUUUGUUUAGAUCCUGAUUCAACUAAACCAACUGUAAAAAGAUGACGCUCAACUUGGCGAUGUCCUCUGAAACAUCAUCUUCUAGAGCUGGUUCAGUGAUAGUGGGAAUGGCUCCGCCCAACCAUCCUCACUCCUCCUGCUUGUUCCCUCUUACCUCUGAACUUUUAGAACUUAGCUGCCAUGCUGUAAGGAAGCCCAGGAUAAACUGCUAGAGAGGAGACCACGUGGAGAGGCCUCAGAGGAUGAGGCACCAUAUGGAGAGAAGGGCCAGCCAGCCCCCAGUGGUUCCAAUCUCCUUCGCUGAGGUAUCAGACAUGUGGAUGAAGACUUCUUGGAUCUCCCAUCACAACUGAGCCUCCAGAUGAUUGCAGCAGCAUGAGAGACAUUGAGCCAACUGGCAAAAGAACCACCCAACUGAUCCCAGCCCAUAUUGUAGAGUUGUGAGUAAUAAUCAUUUAAGUCACUAAGUUUUGGUGUGGUUUAUAAUUCAGCAGUAGACACAUUAAUUGAUAAUUGAUAGACACUAAUUAGGAAGAGUGUAUACACACACACACACACACACACACAGAGAAUCCAACCAAGAAGGCGCACCAGGCCAUACCUGCUAGAUCAAAGACUUGUACCAGCAACUCAAGCCCAAAGACAAGGGCAGGGAAGGCUGGAACAAAACCAUUGAGGUGGGGGAAAUCGGAGGGGUAGACGAACCAUGAGAGACGAUGGACUCUGAAAAACAAACAGGGUUCUAGAGGGGAGGGGGGUGGGAGGAUGGGUUAGCCUGGUGAUGGGUAUUGAGGAGGGCACAUUCUGCAUGGAGCACUGGGUGUUAUGCACAAACAAUGAAUCAUGGAACACUUCAUCUAAAACUAAUGAUGUAAUGUAUGGGGAUUAACAUAAAAAUAAAAAAAAAUGUUACUACGCAAAAAAAAAACAAACCACUGAGGAAUUGUUCUGGGUCUGAAUGACAGAUAGGAUUUGAAUAUGUGGAAAAGAGCAAUAUGUGCAAAGAAGCAACGAGAGCAAAGGCUCAUCCCUCUCUGGACUACAUGCCUCUAAAAGAAGACUCUGAGUGUUAAAAGCAUCCCUAAGGACGGACUCUAAUGAUGGACUUCCAAGAAUGGUGAUGUAAGGAGGCAUUUUGGUAUGUGGCUGAGGCACCCCCUCGUUUCUCUCAGAACAUGCACGCGGAUGUCAACUUACUCCACUUCCUCCUAAAGCCAGCCCUGAUAAAAAUAAUCUAUUAUCAAUUUAGAAAACUCCUAGGGCAAAAUCCCCAGAACCCUAAUAGGAGGUUCUCUCUUAGGAGGAAUAGUCAGCAACAGCUAGGUUUACACUGCCUAUUUUAUAAAAUGGCCAAAUGCAAGUUUCAGGGUCCUGUUGUUAUCCAUCCUGGUCCAUCCUGUUUACUAAUGAUUUGGUUUCUUAUCUAUGUACAACUUAAUUUUUUUUAAAGAUUUUAUUUAUUUGACAGAGAGAGAGAGAGAGCAGGAACACAAGCAGGGGGAGUGGGAGAGGGAGAAGCAGGCUCUCCGCUGAGCAGGGAGCCCAAUGCUGGGCUCGAUCCCAGGACCCCGGGAUCAUGACCGGAGCCGAAGGCAGAUGCUUAACGACUGAGCUACCCAGGCACCCCUGUACUACUUAAUUUUUGAAGGCUAAUUGCUUCUCUGCCAGCUGGGUUUUUGGUUCCCUGAUGGCAACACCAUUGACUGAGAUUCAAAGCUGGGCAAUGAUCACACUGUAUUGGAGUUGACUGUUCUCUUCUCUGCAGUUCCCACCAGAGCAAGAGAUUCUCAAAGGCAAAGAUUUCUUCUGUUCAGUGUUUUGUCUCCAAUGCCUACAUAUUGAUUGACAUAUAGCAAGUGUCCAGUAAAUGUGUAAUGAAUUAAUGAGAAACCCAGGAAUAUGACAAGCACAAAACCAGGCACAUUAGAGUGGAAGACAUAUCAGGCAUAAAAGAUCACUAACAUUUAUUGGCACAACUCUAUUCCAGCUUCUGUAUUAAGCAUGUGAUGAAUUAGUGUUUAGCAAGUUUUAGUUACAUCUGGAGAGGUUAAAUUAUUUAUCCAUAGCUGGAAUUCAACUGGGCCCCUCUGUUCCCAAGUCUAUGCUACACUUUCUAGCUCUCCUCCUGGAUGUUGAAUACUACCCAGCCACUCCUGUUUGAGGGUUCACCAAAUAGGGACAGAGAUGGAGGAGAGUUUGACAGGGGGGAUCCCUUAGAGAACUUUUGCUUGGCCCUCAGGAAUGAGGAUUAGGUGCAGACAGAAGAUGCCCUCAGAGUCUUUGAAGACCUUUUCAUGGGCACAAGGAGGCAGGAGUUGGCACUCAGCCUGUGCUGGGAUAAGGAUGAGUCCCUCUCAGGCUGUUCUCAUCUCCUUCAGGACCAAGUUACUGUUCUCUGGAAGGACUGACAUGCAGGAGAGGUCAGCCCGACCUGCCUAUUCAUAGGGUGGAGCAUUACAACUUGACUCUGUUUCUCCCAAGUUUUGUGAUUAAGAUCGGGAGCUCGGGGUGGGGCACGGGCUUGGCAUUGGGGAUGAAGUCGAUGAGGGAAAUUCAGACUCGCAAAGCGCAGGGUGGAGCUGGGGUGACUCAGGGGGCAGCACCCAGUGUGGGGCAGCCUUUGGCAGGCAGGGGCAGAUCGGAGGAAAGUGUCUAACUGCAUCCCCGUACGCACGGCUUUGUGGGCACUAUUUGUCAGCUGCAGUGCAGUAAGUUAACCUGCGGCUUGGUCUCCAACAGCCUAGGCUCAAAUCCUAGCAUGGCCAUUUACUCUCCCGAUGGCCCCGGCAAAAUCUUUUAAAUUUUUAGGGCUUCAGUUUCCCCUUUAUAGCAUGGGACUAAAAUGCUAGGUUGGGGUGACAAAUAAAUGGGAAAGUAUGCUGAACAUCUGUUCCCCUCCUUCUCCCUGUCCUGCUGGCCCUUGAUAGUCCCCAGAGCCUUAAAGGUGAGCUGUGUCAGGCAGGGCCACAUUAUGAUUCUCAUGUGUCCCUUUUGCCUUUCUCAGUUGCUUCUUCCAUAAAAAAAUAUUAAAAAAUCUAUUUUAUGACUACAUUGGUAUAAAGAGGGAUAUAAUCCAAACUGGGCUUAUUAUCAUAUAUUCAUUAUUAUUAUACUCAUUUUUCCUCUGAUUCUAACAGAAAUUAACAUUAUAAUAUUUUGGGGGGGGGGGCCUAAAAGUAUCAUGGGCCCUCAGCACUGUGCCUAAUGGGUAUGUUGGCUCUGGUGUCAGGCUAUAAGCUAUUCCUACAGGGGUGGGUCUCUUCCUUUUUCCUGAAUCUUUGAGUCCCAUUGCAAUCGAAAUGGUCAGGACAGUAAAUUCACAAUUGAAGAGACAUUUUCCCCCUGAGAUAUUCACUGGGUCAGUGAGGGUGUGUGUUGCACAUGACUAUGGGUAUUUCUGCGGUGGUCUCAGUGUAUCUGCGCCUCAGGGUGUAGCUGUUUUGGAGUGGAUGCAGGGUAGUGCGAAAGCCUAAAUUAUAAAGUGCCUGAAACUUUAUUGGUUCAUCCAACAAAUUUUUUUUUGAUAUAUUUGAUAUAAAAAAAAAUAUAUAUUUUUGCCAAGCUCUGUUAUAGGAACUGGAGAUACAGUACAAUGAACAAGAAGACCAAAUCCCUGUCCUCAUGCAGCUUACCUUCUAGUGGAGGGAAAUAGACAAGAAAUGAAAAGAUUAUGUCAGGUGAUAAGUGUUAAGCAAGGUGGGUAGAGAGAGAGGUAUAAGUGAUAAGGUGAGAGUGGAGUGUCUAUUAUAUAGAAGAUGAUCAGGAAACACGUCUUUGAUAAGGUGAUAUUGGAGCAGAGCCCCAAAGGAAGUGAGGGAUGGAGCCACGUGGCUAUCUGGGGGAAUAGCAUUCCAGGAAGAAUGAAAGGCAGGUACAGGGCACCUGGGUGUUGCAGUUGGUUAAGUGAAUGACUCUUGGUUUUGCUCAGGUUGUGGUCUCAGGGUUGUCCUGCAUCGGCUUUGCGCUUGGCGCAGAAUCUGCUUGGGAUUCUCUCUCCUCCUCCCUCUGCCCCUCCUGCUCGUGCUCACUCUCUCUCUCAAAUAAAUAAAUAAAUCUUAAAAAAAAAAAAAAAAGGCAAGUGCAGAGACCCUGUAGCAGGAGGCUUCUCAGUGAGCUUGAGGAACAGAAUGGAAGCCUGAGUCUGGAGCGGUGUGGCAGGAGAUGAAUUUAGACAGGCGGCACAGGGCCAGAUCAUGUAGAGCUUCAUAGGCUGUUGUAAAGACUCUAGCGUGUAGUCCAAGUGUGAUGAGAAGCCUCUAGAAGAAUUUGUCAGAGGAGUGUCAUGAUCUGACCUAGGUCUUAAUAGUAUCACUUUGGCUGCUUGCAUGGAAUAGAUCGGAAGAGGCAAGCACAGAGCAGGGAGGCCAGUUAGGAGACAAUUUAUACGGAUGUGGACCAGAGGGUUAGCAAUGGGUGAUGCUGAGAAGUGGUCAAAAUGGGGAUAUGAAGGUAAAGCCAACAAGAUUGGCUGAUAUAUUAAGAUGUCUGGGGAACCCGAAAAAGAGGAGUCAAGGAAAACUUCCAAACGGGAAGCAUGGAAUUGGCAUUUACUGACAUGGGGCAAGGGAACAGGUUUAGAGAGGACUCCAAGAGUUUCGUUUUGAAUGAGUUAAUUUUGAGAUGCUUUUCUUGGAUAAAGAUUAUCAAACUGAAGCAUUGGCCAGGGCUUUGUAGCCCCACAGUGACCAGUCUUUGGAUGUGGGCUGCCCCCAGCAAGGGGGUGCAGAAAUGAACCGGGGAAGCUCCCUUUAGCUGACAACAUUGUCCCGAGAGGGGCAGGGCUGUGAGUCAUCAACAGGCAACACUCAUUGAUGCUGAGGGAAUGCAUGUCUUAGUCCUAAAAAGGGGGGAUCUGGAUGCCACCUCAUAGUAUCCACUAGAAGCCACCUCUUGUGCUGUUCAAAUCCACUCCAUCUGGGAACGGUUUCUCUAGAACCAUAGUUGGUCUGUUUCCUUGGGAAACUUAUGGAAGGUUCGUGGGAUUAACCAGCCACACCUCUCCCUGUCUCCACUCCUGGCCACAACCAAUACUCAUCAUCUCCCUCCUGUACUACCCAUUCUAGAGUCCCUUCAUCCCUGGCUGGCACCUUCGCUGUUCCAAGUGGCUCACCUGGUGUUGUGACCCAGACCCUCAUCCCUAAGGGAUCUGAGCAGUGGGUCACCAUGACCUUCCCAGAUUAAGGCUGCUGCACUUUUCCAUUUACCUUUGUAAUGGGAGAGGGGGUAUCAGGAGGCACCCCAGUAGAUCAUGUGAGUGCCAAAGAUAUUCUUCAUUGCUCCCAGGGUGUAACACGGCAUCCUGAUGAUUAGGGUUGAUCACCUUGGCCAAUGUGGCGAUCCUUUUCUGUCUGCUAGUCUCUUGGCACGAGGAGACUGAGAUGACCAGGCAGCAGCCAUGGCUUGAAGCAUACUGGAACUUCUACUGUACCUCCUCCUGGUAGAAACAUUCUCCAUUCGGGAACCAGGGCCUCUAGAUCCACAAAGCCACAAGUUGUCAGGGCUGGAAGCACCAACUCCCCAAGGAGGUCACUGGAGUGAUGGUGAAUGGGUCUUCCUCUUGGUUCCUGGACCUAUGUAUUCUGCCUGUUUGAGACAUGGUACUGUAUAAUGCUUGUUGAUCAGGAUGAGAUCACAUCCUGGGGACAACAGCACAACUUUGCAGUAUAUCAAUUCCAAAUUGGUGCCUUAGCUGCAUCUUUAAGCAGCCACUUCGGCCCUCUAUCAGGCCAGCAGCGUCUGGGUAUGAGAUAGGACGAGGGGAUACCAUGGUCGUGUGCCCACUCCCACAUCUCCUUUGCUGAAAAGUGAAGCCCAUGGUCUGAGGCAAGGUCAUGCUUGAUCCCAUGGCGGUGGAUCUAGUGUUCAGUAAGCCUUUGGAUUGUGGUGUUGGCCAAGGCUCCACGGGCAAGAAAGGCAAAUCCAAAUAUGGAAUAUCAACCAGUUGUUUUUAAAUUAAAUCUUUAAAAAAAAAAAUAGGGGC